UGGAUAAUCCCAGCCUCAGGUGGAGAGU
rnacentral:piRNA from 1 species